rnacentral:rRNA from 1 species
UACGUAGGGUGCAAGCGUUUAUCCGGAAUUAUUGGGCGUAAAGAGCUCGUAGGCGGUUUGUCGCGUCUGCUGUGAAAACUGGAGGCUCAACCUCCAGCCUGCAGUGGGUACGGGCAAACUAGAGUGCGGUGGGGGGAGAUUGGAAUUCCUGGUGUAGCGGUGGAAUGCGCAGAUAUCAGGAGGAACACCGAUGGCGAAGGCAGAUCUCUGGGCCGUAACUGACGCUGAGGAGCGAAAGCAUGGGGGAGCGAACAGG